UAUACGACCGUACCGCAAACCGACACUGGUGCGCGAGAUGAGUAUUCUAAGGCGCUUGAGAGAACUCAGGAGAAGGAACUCGGCAAAUUGACACCGUAACUUCGGAAGAAGGUGUGCCCUAUUAGUGUGUAGUGAACAACGAAGCAUGAAUGGGUUGCAAAAAAUCGGUGGCUGCGACUGUUUAUUAAAAACACAGCACUCUGCAAACACGAAAGUGGACGUAUAGGGUGUGACGCCUGCCCGGUGCUGGAAGAUUAAAUGAUGGGGUGCAAGCUCUUGAUUGAAGUCCCAGUAAACGGCGGCCGUAACUAUAACGGUCCUAAGGUAGCGAAAUUCCUUGUCGGGUAAGUUCCGACCUGCACGAAUGGCGUAACGAUGGCCACACUGUCUCCUCCUGAGACUCAGCGAAGUUGAAAUGUUUGUGAUGAUGCAAUCUCCCCGCGGAAAGACGGAAAGACCCCAUGAACCUUUACUGUAGCUUUGUAUUGGACUUUGAACAGAUCUGUGUAGGAUAGGUGGGAGGCUUUGAAGCAGGGUCGCUAGAUCUUGUGGAGCCAACGUUGAAAUACCACCCUGGUGUGUUUGAGGUUCUAACCUAGGUCCAUUAUCUGGAUCGGGGACAGUGCAUGGUAGGCAGUUUGACUGGGGCGGUCUCCUCCCAAAGCGUAACGGAGGAGUUCGAAGGUACGCUAGUUACGGUCGGACAUCGUGACGAUAGUGCAAUGGCAUAAGCGUGCUUAACUGCGAGACUGACAAGUCGAGCAGAUGCGAAAGCAGGACAUAGUGAUCCGGUGGUUCUGUAUGGAAGGGCCAUCGCUCAACGGAUAAAAGGUACUCUGGGGAUAACAGGCUGAUACCGCCCAAGAGUUCAUAUCGACGGCGGUGUUUGGCACCUCGAUGUCGGCUCAUCUCAUCCUGGGGCUGUAGCCGGUCCCAAGGGUAUGGCUGUUCGCCAUUUAAAGAGGUACGUGGGCUGGGUUUAAAACGUCGUGAGACAGUUUGGUCCCUAUCUUCCGUGGGCGCUGCAGAUUUGAGGAAGCCUGCUCCUAGUACGAGAGGACCGGAGUGGACACACCUCUGGUGUAUCGGUUGUCACGCCAGUGGCAUUGCCGAGUAGCUAAGUGUGGAAGAGAUAACCGCUGAAAGCAUCUAAGCGGGAAACUCGUUUCAAGAUGAGAUCUGCCGGGGCCUUGAGCCCCCUAAAGAGUCGUUCAAGACCAGGACGUUGAUAGGUCAGGUGUGGAAGC
rnacentral:rRNA from 1 species